GACGAACGCUGGCGGCGUGCCUAAUACAUGCAAGUAGAACGCAGUUGCGAACGGGUGAGUAACGCGUAGGUAACUGCCUCAUAGCGGGGGAUAACUAUUGGAAACGAUAGCUAAUACCGCAUACUGUGAGAUGGACCUGCGUUGUAUUAGCUAGUUGGUGAGGUAAAGGCUCACCAAGGCGACGAUACAUAGCCGACCUGAGAGGGGUGUCGGGCAAACUUGGACUGAGGCACGGCCCAGAACCCUCCGGGGGGCCGGAGUAGGGAAUUCUUCGGAAUGGAACGAAGUUUGACCGGGCAAAGGCGCGGGAGUGAAGAAGGUUUUCGGAAUGGAAAGCUCUGUUGGUUGAGAAGCGGUAACUAACCAGAAAGGGACGGCUAACUACGUGCCAGCCGCCGCGGUAAUUC
rnacentral:rRNA from 1 species